ensembl:lncRNA LINC00922 long intergenic non-protein coding RNA 922
UCCCCUUCGAUCCCUUGCUCGCUGCUGCUGCCACGUAAGAAGUGUGUUGCUUCCCCUUCGUCUUCCACCAUGAAUAACAGAAUGGCAAUUUUCGUGUGGUGUUAAUUUCCGUGGAAGAAGAAAAGGCUCGACUCUCUGUCCUAUUUUUCAUGAAUACUGGAAGUAGGGAAUAAACCUGGAGUCUCACGGGUGAAAAGAGACAUUUCCAUAUCACCAGACCACAAACGUGGGUGUUGAUUCUAAGGAUACCCCCAAUAAACAUCUUUCGUGCUAAAGCCCAUUCCAGAAUUUACUUCCCAGCUAUCUUUGAUGUUCAUAUUGUCAGAGGUGGUGGCCGCUGAAACAGGCAAAGACAUGGAGCAUAUCUUGGGUCCAGGACCUUGGGAGUCCAGAGGAAGGUCUUUUUACCAUCAGCAUUCUCUACUGUGUUCAAUGACUGUCAGCCAAAGAUGGCCAGGUUCUCUACUGUGAUGGUGAAUUUUAUGUGUCAAUUUGACUGGACCAUGGGAUGCCCAGGUACUUGGUGAAACAUUUCUCUGAGGAUGUCUCUGGCUUUCCUUCAGAAAGAAAUGCAUUCAAAGAACCUACAUUCACAACAUAAAGAAAUAAAGCCUGCACCUACAGAUCUACACACAUGCCCAUGCACAUGCAGGAAGUGUUCAUCUAAGACUGGACCUUUUAGAAGAAAGCUGGCAUACAUUCGUGAAGGCAUGGGCUUCCAGGCAUGUCAUCUUCACUCACGAAGCACACACAAGACCGCCAAGCAUUAAGAUUCUCCUGUGGAGCCAGGCUACAAUCCUUUAAAUGAAGACAGACAGCUAGGUGGCUGCAGCCCAGCGCUACACCUCACCCCUCCCUCAGUGUCAUGCAGAAAAAAUGUAUUCAGAACUCAGAAGUGAAGUUGUGCAAAUCCAUCAUUGACACUAGCUUCAAGGUUACCUCGGGGGAGCAGAAUGUACCCCUGCCAGAGAGCUGGAUAGAUGAUGAUGGGGACAGAAAUUCUGGGGGAGUUGUAAAUGGCAGCCACUGCCUCUAUAGGAAACCCAAAGGGAACACAGCAGAAGAGGAGGUGGUGGAGGAGCCACUGCCCUCUCGAAGGGUUCAAUGUCAUUCUGCAGACACAACCAAAUAACUUUUUCUUCCCUGCUGCUCCUCCAUUUGAAAUGACAGCCCCGAGCUCGCUUUUUCCUUGAUUGUGUAACUCUGAUUACAGACAAGGCCAAGGCAAUCCCAGGGCAUUACUACAAAGCUAAGGGGUCCCCAAAGAACUAAAGAGUCAGCUCCACAAAAAUCCCGAUUCCUAGCAUGAAACUGAAAUAUGAAACCAAACGGGCAUAGAAAAGGUAUGUGCAUUCGAAUCACAUAGCAGUGACUGGAGUCCUGAGCUGUGUCUGAAGACUGUGAGAUCACGUUUGGAGCUGCUGAUUGGUUUUCAGUGAUGGCCCUGUUGCACAGUGCCGUGAGACUUAGCUCCAUGGCCAAAGACGAUGGUAUCCCCUAGGAGCCCUGUGAGGUUGCUGCUGUUCUCUUAAGACACCAGGUAGCCAUCUGAUCCUCCCUGAGCAAACUAACUGGGCAGACAGGUUUAUUAAACCUCUGUUGGUCCGACUUACAUGAAACAAGAGAGUUAUUUUGUUGUUGUUGUUUUGUUUUGUUUUAAAUUAAACCUGUCUUUGGAGCCUCCU